rnacentral:tRNA from 1 species
AAAGGGAGACCUAAUUCAGGUAUAAGACGAAAAAAAAGUAGUCCCUACCAGGAAUCAAUCCCAAAAGGUCGGAGCGAGGCGAAAUUGGCUUUCAAACUAGGUUCUGGGUUCAAACAAGACCUGAAUCAGGAACAAGGGCUAUUAGCUCAGGUGGUUAGAGCGCACCCCUGAUAAGGGUGAGGUCCCUGGUUCGAGUCCAGGAUGGCCCACCUGCACAGGUGGCAAAAACAAGAGAAGCGAGGAAUCAGCACCUUAUCUUAUAUACAUAUAUAAGAGAGAAUGCUGGCUCUGAGUACAGAGUCCAGAGGAACCUUGAAAACUGCAUAGAGCUAGGUGAAAAAGCCAAAAAAGAAGACCGCAAG